CCAUAUAAUACGCAUCGCCUUCCAUUGCUGUGAUCGUAAUAACACAUCAUCUGAAAGCAUACCCUGGUCCUGCUGUGACGUUACUGACUCAGCAGCUUGUACCGUAGAGAAUAAAAAUAAAAAGGACUGCAAACAAGAAUUUUCUUUGUGGUGGGAUGAAUAUCAAACAUUGGUAUACUUAUCCCUGACUGUCGUACACGUAAUAUUGUCGUCCUGCUCACUCCUACGCCGUUCAUAUAGCGCGUCCCGCUCGCACACCUAGCAAUCCCAGCGCCGAUCUGGCGCGUCAACUCCUAAAAGGCUUUCUCGUGGUAACCGUGUUUCACCCAGCAUCGAAGCGACGCCUGAAGAUGUACUAAUGGUAGUACUGGGCAGAGGAAGACUAGGGUGGAUUGAAAAAUCGUAAUAUUUAUAAUCGUAAUAAUUUAGAAAUUAGAUAUAAGAACUUUUUUACAUUUUUUACGAAAAAAUAA
rnacentral:misc_RNA from 1 species